GUCACAUGUGCGCAUAGAAAAAUCAGCCAAGGCAACAAACGUUUUUUCCUGUAAAUACGGCGGUGAAGUUAGUUUUAGGUUGGAUAUAUUCUCCUGUAAAUACGGCGGUGAAGUUAGUUUCAGGUUGGAUAUAUUUUCCUGUAAAUAUGGCGGUGAAGUUAGUUUUAGGUUGGAUAUAUUCUCCUGUAAAUACGGCGGUGAAGUUAGUUUUAGGUUGGAUAAAUUUUCCUGUAAAUACGGCGGUGAAGUUAGUUUUAGGUUGGAUAUCUGACGGACAUUCUCUGAGGAUCUACCGGUGUCUUCUCACUCUCCAUAACCGGGAAUAACAACAGUAGCGCGGUUAAAUCUACUCGACACCCUCACUGUCAACGUCGGUGUUGAAUAAGGGACCGUCAAUAAAUUACCGGUUGAUGUUCUCAAAAAAGGCUGUUUUCCUUCAAUAGCUUCCAUGUCAUGUGACCAAUUGACCUAAAAUCGAUUCCAAAUCAU
rnacentral:lncRNA from 1 species